ACUAGCCCACCCCGUCCUCCCCAUCCAAUUUCGUUCCCUCCCCUAAAAAAAAUCCGAUUUCGUUCCCCACCGUUUGCCUUCGUUCUCCACCACGCUCACUAGGGUUCCGCUGGCCGCCAGCGGGGGGCUGCCAUUUGAGGCGCUCGAGGAGGAUUCGCCGUCCCCCGACGCCGCUGCUCCCCUGGACCCCGUCGCGCUCCGGGACAGGCCGGCGCUCACCCCCGACUUCUCUCGGCUCGUCUUCUCCACGGAGCUCCCCUGCCGUCGGCCCACGCCGGAGCCAUGGGCCGACCUCCCCUCCGGCAGCACGCGCCGCCCGAACCCAGUUGGCGGCCACGGCCGCGCUCACUAGGGUUCCGCCGGCCGCCGGCGGGGGGCUGCCAUUUGAGGCGCUCGAGGAGGAUUCGCCGUCCCCCGACGCCGCUGCUCCCAAUAUUGCGCUGUCACAGUCCGGCUCUGCUCGUGCCAAGCUUCCAGGAUCUGCUAAACCUUGCAAGUACAGGAGGAUGAGUGCUCUCUCUCCUACAGGUCAAAGAGGCCUCCAGGUCAAACAAUGCUUGCUGUCAUUAGAAACCGAUCAAACUUAAAAUUCCGUGCAAAACCAUGUGCUUGAGAUUUCCCACUGAAAUACUCAUGCUGAGACCUUGCUAGGUUACUUGCGUGAGCAACGAGAAGGGGGCAGCUCCAGAGCUGGACCAGGCGGCGCAGCUACGAGCAUGGCUCGGUAACACGCUGGUCAUGCGACAAAGCUACGAGCUUGGCUAGGCAAUGCAGCACUGAUAUGGUGAAAUACAGAAAGCACCUCUUCCAGCUGUAGCACCUGCUGGCUCAACAUUGCUUGAAAUGGCAUGUGAGUUAAUUCUCUGAUGCUGAACUUGAUGGUUUGCACUAGCAGGUGCCUGAAUUUGCGCAACAUUUGUACGCGGGUCUGAAGGUGCUGCUCCAUCAAGUCUGUUCUCACUCGGCAAACGAGAUCAUGAAGCUUCAUCACCAGCUACAGGCAUAUUAAUGAGAAAAGUAUUAACCCUUUGGCGCACGAAGAAGUACAAAACUGAAGAAUAACAAAUUACCUUUGAAUCUGUCGGUGGCAAUUCAUCAAACAACUCAGGUGUCGGCGACCUUGCUACGUCCCAUGGCUCCUUUAGGUCAUGUACGGUCUGAAAUAAAUUGAUGAAAUUGGUUCCUAUUUUAUAAUGAAAAUAAAUAUGGAAGAAUAAAUACAAAUGUUGUACAAUACGUAAUUUAUGUACCUCUCCGGCCUGAAGGCCGUGCUUAUCAAAAAUAGCACAGACUUUGCGCA